rnacentral:rRNA from 1 species
ACGAACGCUGGCGGCGUGCUUAACACACGCAAGUCGAACGGUAAGGCCCUUUCGGGGGUACACGAGUGGCGAACGGGUGAGUAACACGUGGGUAAUCUGCCCUGCACUUCGGGAUAAGCCUGGGAAACCGGGUCUAAUACCGGAUAUGAGCUCCUGCCGCAUGGUGGGGGUUGGAAAGUUUUUCGGUGCAGGAUGAGUCCGCGGCCUAUCAGCUUGUUGGUGGGGUAAUGGCCUACCAAGGCGACGACGGGUAGCCG